rnacentral:lncRNA from 1 species
AUGGGAGUUCACUUUCUGUUUAAAUGCCUGAAAUAUUCCUUGAAGAAUCUGCAUUUUGGGAGAGCUAGGAAAAAAGCUAUGUUUGGGCUGAUGGAAUGGGAUUCCGCUUUUGUUCGUGCAGAAGUCUACAGACAGAAUGGAUUGGACCUAACAUGUUCAGCCGUUAGUCCACUCAUAUCCACUGCGGUGCACCAGGGAGCCCUUUCUGGCUGCUCUCUGUGGGCUGCUUUGUGGCUACUUUUCUUUGGUGAUGGGAGAAAUUUUCAAAUAUUGAUUAAAACUAGGCAAGUGCCUGGGCUCCAUAAAAACUCUCGUGCUCCAAACUGUGAGACUUGUUUGUUUUGGCUGGCCUUUAUGGCCAGACUGACAUUUUAUGCAGAAAGCUCAUAUUUCGAUUUUCCUUGGAAUUUUACACAUAUGAACAAUGAACUAAACAGAAUGUAAGGUUGUGUUCUUGUUGCUGUUGCCAUUUUCUGGCUUCUUCUGAAAUGUGAGAAAACCUAGUGUAGGCAUAUUCCCCAUGGUCACCCCAAACUUGGCUACCCUGGUUCAGAAACAGCUGGAUUCCCUGACAGUGUAGGAGAGAUUGGGCACUGAGCAGCUGCCCCAUUUGCUUGCUGUGCAUGAGAGUUAAUAAAAAUUUUCAUUGCUAGAGGAAAGCUUAUAUACAGUAGUCUGUUUGUCCCAUAUUUCAGCCACCUGAGUCACAGCCAAAGAAGCAAUUGUCUACUACAUAUUUCAAACAGAUGCUAAGGGUAGGAAGGGCGACUA